rnacentral:rRNA from 1 species
CCGCGCUACCGUCGAAAGUCUGACGGAGCAACCACGCGUGAGUGAUGAAGGCUUUCGGGUCGUAAAACUCUGUUGUUAGGGAAGACCAAGUGCUAGUUGAAUAAGCUGGCACCUUGACGGUACCUAACCAGAAAGCCACGGCUAACUACGUGCCACGUAGCCGCGGUAAUACGUAGGUGCCGGCAAGCGUUAUCCGGAAUUAUUGGGCGUAAAGCGC